GACGAACGCUGGCGGCGUGCUUAACACAUGCAAGUCGAACGGAAAGGCCCUGCGUUUGUGGGGUGCUCGAUUGGCGAACGGGUGAGUAACACGUGAGUAACCUGCCCUUGACUGUGUGAUAACUUUAGGAAACUGGGGCGAAUACCGGAUAGGAUCUCCUGCUGCAUGGUGGGGGAUGGAGAGUUUCGGCGGUUGGGGAUGGAGUCGCUGCUUAUCCGCUUGUUUGUGUGGUAGUGGCUGACCAAGGCUUUGACGGGUAGCCGGCCUGAGAGGGUGGCCGGGGACAUUGGGCCUGAGAUACGGCGCAGAAUCCUACGGGACGCAGCAGUCGAGAAUAUUGCACAACGGGGGCAAGUCUGAUGCAGAAAUGUCCCGUGCGGGAUGCCGGCCUUCGGGUUGUAAACAACUUUCGAAUGUGCCGAAGACGGAGUGACGGUACUGGGUCAAGAAGCCACGGCUAACUACGUG
rnacentral:rRNA from 1 species